CGCUGAGACAGGUGCUGCAUGGCUGUCGUCAGCUCGUGUUGUGAAAUGUUGGGUUAAGUCCCGCAACGAGCGCAACCCUUAUCCUUUGUUGCCAGCACGUAAUGGUGGGAACUCAAAGGAGACUGCCGGUGAUAAACCGGAGGAAGGUGGGGAUGACGUCAAGUCAUCAUGGCCCUUACGAGUAGGGCUACACACGUGCUACAAUGGCAGAUACAAAGAGAAGCGACCUCGCGAGAGCAAGCGGAACUCAUAAAGUCUGUCGUAGUCCGGAUUGGAGUCUGCAACUCGACUCCAUGAAGUCGGAAUCGCUAGUAAUCGUAGAUCAGAAUGCUACGGUGAAUACGUUCCCGGGCCUUGUACACACCGCCCGUCACACCAUGGGAGUGGGUUGCAAAAGAAGUAGGUAGCUUAACCUUCGGGAGGGCGCUUACCACUUUGUGAUUCAUGACUGGGGUGAAGUCGUAACAAGGUAACCGUAGGGGAACCUGCGGUUGGAUCACCUCCUUA
rnacentral:rRNA from 1 species